GCAGAGCAUCCUACGGGAGGCAGCAGUGGGGAAUAUUGCACAAUGGGCGCAAGCCUGAUGCAGCCAUGCCGCGUGUAUGAAGAAGGCCUUCGGGUUGUAAAGUACUUUCAGCAGUGAGGAAGGUGGGUAUGUUAAUAGCAUACUCAUUUGACGUUAGCUGCAGAAGAAGCACCGGCUAACUCCGUGCCAGCAGCCGCGGUAAUACGGAGGGUGCGAGCGUUAAUCGGAAUUACUGGGCGUAAAGCGCAUGCAGGUGGUUUGUUAAGUCAGAUGUGAAAGCCCGGGGCUCAACCUCGGAAUUGCAUUUGAAACUGGCAAACUAGAGUACUGUAGAGGGGGUAGAAUUUCAGGUGUAGCGGUGAAAUGCGUAGAGAUCUGAAGGAAUACCGGUGGCGAAGGCGGCCCCCUGGACAGAUACUGACACUCAGAUGCGAAAGCGUGGGGAGCAAACAGGAUUAGAUACCCUGGUAG
rnacentral:rRNA from 1 species